UACGGAGGGUGCGAGCGUUGUUCGGAAUUACUGGGCGUAAAGGGCUCGUAGGCGGCCAACUAAGUCAGACGUGAAAUCCCUCAGCUUAACUGGGGAACUGCGUCUGAUACUGGAUGGCUUGGAUUCGGGAGAGGAAUGCGGAAUUCCAGGUGUAGCGGUGAAAUGCGUAGAUAUCUGGAGGAACACCGGUGGCGAAGGCGGCAUUCUGGACCGAUAUUGACGCUGAGGAGCGAAAGCCAGGGGAGCAAACGGG
rnacentral:rRNA from 1 species